AACCUCCGCAAUGUGAGAAAUCGCGACGGGGGGAUCCCAAGUGCCAUUCUUAACGGGAUGGCUUUUCAUAAGUGUAAAAAUCUUUUGGAAUAAGAGCUGGGCAAGACCGGUGCCAGCCGCCGCGGUAACACCGGCAGCUCUAGUGGUAACUGUUUUUAUUGGGCCUAAAGCGUUCGUAGCCGGUUUAAUAAGUCUCUGGUGAAAUCCUGUAGCUCAACUAUGGGAAUUGCUGGAGAUACUAUUAGACUCGAGAUCGGGAGAGGUUAGAGGUACUCCCAGGGUAGGGGUGAAAUCCUGUAAUCCUGGGAGGACCGCCUGUGGCGAAGGCGUCUAACUGGAACGAAUCUGACGGUGAGGAACGAAAGCUAGGGGCGCGAACCGG
rnacentral:rRNA from 1 species